UUCAGUGAUGGAUUAAGCUGACCGGUACUAAUAGGUCGAGGGCUUGACCUUA
rnacentral:rRNA from 1 species